rnacentral:rRNA from 1 species
UACGUAGGUGGCAAGCGUUGUCCGGAAUUAUUGGGCGUAAAGCGCGCGCAGGCGGUCCUUUAAGUCUGAUGUGAAAGCCCACGGCUCAACCGUGGAAGGUCAUUGGAAACUGGAGGACUUGAGUACAGAAGAGGAAAGCGGAAUUCCACGUGUAGCGGUGAAAUGCGUAGAGAUGUGGAGGAACACCAGUGGCGAAGGCGGCUUUCUGGUCUGUAACUGACGCUGGGGCGCGAAAGCGUGGGGAGCAAACAGG